rnacentral:rRNA from 1 species
GGGUUGUGAGGUUAAGCGACUAAGCGUACACGGUGGAUGCCCUGGCAGUCAGAGGCGAUGAAGGACGUGCUAAUCUGCGAAAAGCGUCGGUAAGGUGAUAUGAACCGUUAUAACCGGCGAUGUCCGAAUGGGGAAACCCAGUGCAAUUCGUUGCACUAUCGUUAACUGAAUACAUAGGUUAACGAGGCGAACCGGGGGAACUGAAACAUCUAAGUACCCCGAGGAAAAGAAAUCAACCGAGAUUCCCCCAGUAGCGGCGAGCGAACGGGGAGCAGCCCAGAGUCUGAAUCAGCUUGUGUGUUAGUGGAACGGUCUGGAAAGUCCGACGGUACAGGGUGAUAGUCCCGUACACCAAAAUGCACAGGCUGUGAACUCGAAGAGUAGGGCGGGACACGUGGUAUCCUGUCUGAAUAUGGGGGGACCAUCCUCCAAGGCUAAAUACUCCUGACUGACCG